GUACUCUCACACUUCCAAUCUUUGGAUUGGGAGCGGUGGACUUGGGUGUUGCUGCUUACUGUGGCUCACCUCAAAUUGAUUCGUGCACCUCUUGGUUGGACAUAGUACGGCGUGAUAAGUGUCUUCGCCGGCACCUCAGUAGAGGGUGGCUGAUCGGGAGCUCUGUGCUUCAAACCGUCCUCGGACAACAACUGACA
rnacentral:misc_RNA from 1 species